AAACUUAGGAUAAUUUCUAAACCAAAG
rnacentral:tRNA from 1 species